rnacentral:rRNA from 1 species
UACGUAGGGACCGAGCGUUGUCCGGAUUCAUUGGGCGUAAAGAGCUCGUAGGCGGCUGCUCAAGUCGAAUGUGAAAACUCGAGGCUCAACCUCGAGCCUGCAUUCGAUACUGGGCGGCUAGAGUCUGGGUAGGGGGAUCUGGAAUUCCUGGUGUAGCGGUGGAAUGCGCAGAUAUCAGGAGGAACACCGGUGGCGAAGGCGGGAUCCUGGGCCAGUACUGACGCCUGAGACGCGAAAGCGUGGGGAGCAAACAGG